CUCUCUCUCUCUCUCUCUCUCUCUCUCUCUCUCUCCUCACAAGGCCCAGCUCAGUCUGGUCAUGUCCACUCUGGGCUCUCA